UGGGGUGUAGCAGAACUGGUUUCAUGCUCUGGUCUCUAAAACCGGGAAAUAUAAGGGUUCGAGUCCCUUGGCCCCAA
rnacentral:tRNA from 1 species